rnacentral:rRNA from 1 species
UUAAGCGACUAAGCGUACACGGUGGAUGCCCUGGCAGUCAGAGGCGAUGAAGGACGUGCUAAUCUGCGAAAAGCGUCGGUAAGGUGAUAUGAACCGUUAUAACCGGCGAUGUCCGAAUGGGGAAACCCAGUGUGAUUCGUCACACUAUCGUUAACUGAAUACAUAGGUUAACGAGGCGAACCGGGGGAACUGAAACAUCUAAGUACCCCGAGGAAAAGAAAUCAACCGAGAUUCCCCCAGUAGCGGCGAGCGAACGGGGAGCAGCCCAGAGUCUGAAUCAGCUUGUGUGUUAGUGGAACGGUCUGGAAAGUCCGACGGUACAGGGUGAUAGUCCCGUACACCAAAAUGCACAGGCUGUGAACUCGAAGAGUAGGGCGGGACACGUGGUAUCCUGUCUGAAUAUGGGGGGACCAUCCUCCAAGGCUAAAUACUCCUGACUGACCGAUAGUGAACCAGUACCGUGAGGGAAAGGCGAAAAGAACCCCGGCGAGGGGAGUGAAAAAGAACCUGAAACCGUGUACGUACAAGCAGUGGGAGCACCUUCGGGUGUGACUGCGUACCUUUUGUAUAAUGGGUCAGCGACUUAUAUUCUGUAGCAAGGUUAACCGUAUAGGGGAGCCGCAGGGAAACCGAGUCUUAACUGGGCGUUAAGUUGCAGGGUAUAGACCCGAAACCCGGUGAUCUAGCCAUGGGCAGGUUGAAGGUUGGGUAACACUAACUGGAGGACCGAACCGACUAAUGUUGAAAAAUUAGCGGAUGACUUGUGGCUGGGGGUGAAAGGCCAAUCAAACCGGGAGAUAGCUGGUUCUCCCCGAAAGCUAUUUAGGUAGCGCCUCGUGAAUUCAUCUUCGGGGGUAGAGCACUGUUUCGGCUAGGGGGUCAUCCCGACUUACCAACCCGAUGCAAACUACGAAUACCGAAGAAUGUUAUCACGGGAGACACACGGCGGGUGCUAACGUCCGUCGUGAAGAGGGAAACAACCCAGACCGCCAGCUAAGGUCCCAAAGUCAUGGUUAAGUGGGAAACGAUGUGGGAAGGCACAGACAGCCAGGAUGUUGGCUUAGAAGCAGCCAUCAUUUAAAGAAAGCGUAAUAGCUCACUGGUCGAGUCGGCCUGCGCGGAAGAUGUAACGGGGCUAAACCAUGCACCGAAGCUGCGGCAGCGACACUAUGUGUUGUUGGGUAGGGGAGCGUUCUGUAAGCCUGCGAAGGUGACCUGUGAGGGUUGCUGGAGGUAUCAGAAGUGCGAAUGCUGACAUAAGUAACGAUAAAGCGGGUGAAAAGCCCGCUCGCCGGAAGACCAAGGGUUCCUGUCCAACGUUAAUCGGGGCAGGGUGAGUCGACCCCUAAGGCGAGGCCGAAAGGCGUAGUCGAUGGGAAACAGGUUAAUAUUCCUGUACUUGGUGUUACUGCGAAGGGGGGACGGAGAAGGCUAUGUUAGCCGGGCGACGGUUGUCCCGGUUUAAGCAUGUAGGCUGGUUGUCCAGGCAAAUCCGGAUAAUCAAGGCUGAGGUGUGAUGACGAGGCACUACGGUGCUGAAGUAACAAAUGCCCUGCUUCCAGGAAAAGCCUCUAAGCAUCAGGUAACAUCAAAUCGUACCCCAAACCGACACAGGUGGUCAGGUAGAGAAUACCAAGGCGCUUGAGAGAACUCGGGUGAAGGAACUAGGCAAAAUGGUGCCGUAACUUCGGGAGAAGGCACGCUGGUGUGUAGGUGAAGUCCCUGCGGAUGGAGCUGAGACCAGUCGAAGAUACCAGCUGGCUGCAACUGUUUAUUAAAAACACAGCACUGUGCAAACACGAAAGUGGACGUAUACGGUGUGACGCCUGCCCGGUGCCGGAAGGUUAAUUGAUGGGGUUAUCCGUAAGGAGAAGCUCUUGAUCGAAGCCCCGGUAAACGGCGGCCGUAACUAUAACGGUCCUAAGGUAGCGAAAUUCCUUGUCGGGUAAGUUCCGACCUGCACGAAUGGCGUAAUGAUGGCCAGGCUGUCUCCACCCGAGACUCAGUGAAAUUGAACUCGCUGUGAAGAUGCAGUGUACCCGCGGCAAGACGGAAAGACCCCGUGAACCUUUACUAUAGCUUGACACUGAACAUUGAGCCUUGAUGUGUAGGAUAGGUGGGAGGCUUUGAAGCGUGGACGCCAGUCUGCGUGGAGCCAACCUUGAAAUACCACCCUUUAAUGUUUGAUGUUCUAACGUUGGCCCCUUACCGGGGUUGCGGACAGUGUCUGGUGGGUAGUUUGACUGGGGCGGUCUCCUCCCAAAGCGUAACGGAGGAGCACGAAGGUUAGCUAAUCCUGGUCGGACAUCAGGAGGUUAGUGCAAUGGCAUAAGCUAGCUUGACUGCGAGCGUGACGGCGCGAGCAGGUGCGAAAGCAGGUCAUAGUGAUCCGGUGGUUCUGAAUGGAAGGGCCAUCGCUCAACGGAUAAAAGGUACUCCGGGGAUAACAGGCUGAUACCGCCCAAGAGUUCAUAUCGACGGCGGUGUUUGGCACCUCGAUGUCGGCUCAUCACAUCCUGGGGCUGAAGUAGGUCCCAAGGGUAUGGCUGUUCGCCAUUUAAAGUGGUACGCGAGCUGGGUUUAGAACGUCGUGAGACAGUUCGGUCCCUAUCUGCCGUGGGCGCUGGAGAAUUGAGGGGGGCUGCUCCUAGUACGAGAGGACCGGAGUGGACGCAUCACUGGUGUUCGGGUUGUCAUGCCAAUGGCACUGCCCGGUAGCUAAAUGCGGAAGAGAUAAGUGCUGAAAGCAUCUAAGCACGAAACUUGCCCCGAGAUGAGUUCUCCCUGAGACUUUAAGUCUCCUGAAGGAACGUUGAAGACGACGACGUUGAUAGGCCGGGUGUGUAAGCGCAGCGAUGCGUUGAGCUAACCGGUACUAAUGAACCGUGAGGCUUAACCUU